rnacentral:rRNA from 1 species
AACAAGGUCUCCGUAGGUGAACCUGCGGGAGGGAUC